rnacentral:rRNA from 1 species
GACGAACGCUGGCGGCGUGCUUAACACAUGCAAGUCGAACGAUGAACCCGGAGCUUGCUCCGGCGGAUUAGUGGCGAACGGGUGAGUAACACGUGAGUAACCUGCCCUUGACUCUGGGAUAACUGCUAGAAAUGGUAGCUAAUACCGGAUACGACCCUCGGCGGCAUCGCCAGGGGGUGGAAAGAAUUUCGGUCAGGGAUGGACUCGCGGCCUAUCAGCUAGUUGGUGAGGUAACGGCUCACCAAGGCGACGACGGGUAGCCGGCCUGAGAGGGUGACCGGCCACACUGGGACUGAGACACGGCCCAGACUCCUACGGGAGGCAGCAGUGGGGAAUAUUGCACAAUGGGCGCAAGCCUGAUGCAGCAACGCCGCGUGAGGGAUGACGGCCUUCGGGUUGUAAACCUCUUUUAGUAGGGAAGAAGCGAAAGUGACGGUACCUGCAGAGAAAGCACCGGCUAACUACGUGCCAGCCGCCGCAGUAA